CCUACGGGUGGCAGCAGUGGGGAAUAUUGGGCAAUGGGCGCAAGCCUGACCCAGCAACGCCGCGUGAAGGAAGAAGGCUUUCGGGUUGUAAACUUCUUUUCUCAGGGACGAAGAAAGUGACGGUACCUGAGGAAUAAGCCACGGCUCACUACGUGCCAGCAGCCGCGGUAAUACGUAGGUGGCAAGCGUUAUCCGGAUUUACUGGGUGUAAAGGGUGUGUAGGCGGGACUGCAAGUCAGAUGUGAAAACCACGGGCUCAACCUGUGGCCUGCAGUUGAAACUGUAGGUCGUGAGUACUGGAGAGGCAGGCGGAAUUCCUGGUGUAGCGGUGAAAUGCGUAGAUAUUAGGAGGAACACCGGUGGCGAAGGCGGUCUGCUGGACAGCAACUGACGCUGAGGCGCGAAAGCGUGGGGAGCGAACAGGAUUAGAUACCCUUGUAGUC
rnacentral:rRNA from 1 species